rnacentral:rRNA from 1 species
UACAGAGGUCUCAAGCGUUGUUCGGAAUUACUGGGCGUAAAGGGUGCGCAGGCCGCGCGGGCAGUCAAAUGUGUAAUCCAGGGGCUCAACCCCUGAACUGCGCUUGAUACUUCCGCGCUCGAGCUUUGGAGAGGAGUCUGGAAUUCUCGGUGUAGCAGUGAAAUGCGUGGAUAUCAGGAGGAACACCGAUGGCGAAGGCAGGUCUCUGGGCCACUACUGACGCUGAGAAGCGAAAGCAUGGGGAGCGAAACAGG